rnacentral:misc_RNA from 1 species
CUCGAACCUACUCUCGAAAGCGCUCUCCACUUCGACAUCACUUUUUAUGCAACAUCCCAAAGCAAGCCAACGUGUACCGACUUUCCAGGAUAAUGCGACACGUCUUCUUCUCUCAUUGGUCAUUAAGGAGCCAAUUAGAAAGCUUAAUAGCGUCAAUUUAUUCAGUGGGCUCCACCAGAAAUAAAAUUCCACCAAUCACCUCUCUCAACUGUGUUCGAGUUGAACUAGACACGUGGUGCUUCUUUGCCCAGCCACGGUGAUGCCGUUAUGAUUAUGGUCAGUGUUUCCUCACAGAGAGAGAGAGAGAGAGAG